rnacentral:rRNA from 1 species
UACGGAGGGGGCUAGCGUUGUUCGGAAUUACUGGGCGUAAAGCGCACGUAGGCGGCUUUGUAAGUUAGAGGUGAAAGCCCAGGGCUCAACCCUGGAAUUGCCUUUAAGACUGCAUCGCUAGAAUUGUGGAGAGGUAAGUGGAAUUCCGAGUGUAGAGGUGAAAUUCGUAGAUAUUGGGAAGAACACCAGUGGCGAAGGCGGGCUCACUGGCCCCGUAACUGACGCUGAGGUGGCGAAAGCGUGGGGAGCAAACAGG